GAUGAACGCUGGCGGCGUGCCUAACACAUGCAAGUCGAGCGAACCCUUCGGGGUGAGCGGCGGACGGGUGAGUAACGCGUGGGUAACCUGCCCUAUACACACGGAUAACGUACCGAAAGGUACGCUAAUACGGGAUAAAGUUGUUGGAUGGCAUCUUCUAACAAUCAAAGCUCCGGCGGUAUAGGAUGGACCCACGUCUGAUUAGCUAGUUGGUGAGGUAAUGGCUCACCAAGGCGACGAUCAGUAGCCGACCUGAGAGGGUGAUCGGCCACACUGGAACUGAGACACGGUCCAGACUCCUACGGGAGGCAGCAGUGGGGAAUAUUGCACAAUGGGCGAAAGCCUGAUGCAGCAACGCCGCGUGAGCGAUGAAGGUCUUCGGAUCGUAAAGCUCUGUCAUCAAGGAAGAUAAUGACGGUACUUGAGGAGGAAGCCCCGGCUAACUACGUGCCAGCAGCCGCGGUAA
rnacentral:rRNA from 1 species